rnacentral:rRNA from 1 species
CUUUACUAUAGCCUGGAAUUGUGUUCGGGCUUCGCUUACGCAGGAUAGGUGGGAGGCUAUGAAGUUCUGCUUGUGGGCAGAAUCGAGCCAACGGUGAGAUACCACUUUAGCGAGGCUAGAAUUCUAACCCUUGCCCAUGAUCUGGGAAGGAGACAGUUUCAGGGGGGUAGUUUGACUGGGGCGGUCGCCUCCUAAAAGGUAACGGAGGCGCGCAAAGGUCCCCUCAGUCUGGACGGAAAUCAGACAACGAGUGUAAAGGCAAAAGGGGGCUUGACUGCAAGACCUACAAGUCGAGCAGGGUGGAAACACGGUCUUAGUGAUCCGACGGUGCCGCAUGGAAGGGCCGUCGCUCAACGGAUAAAAGUUA